rnacentral:rRNA from 1 species
AUACGUAGGGGGCGAGCGUUGUCCGGAAUGAUUGGGCGUAAAGGGCGCGUAGGCGGCCCGGUAAGUCUGGAGUGAAAGUCCUGUUUUUAAGAUGGGAAUUGCUUUGGAUACUGUCGGGCUUGAGUGCAGGAGAGGUAAGUGGAAUUCCCAGUGUAGCGGUGAAAUGCGUAGAGAUUGGGAGGAACACCAGUGGCGAAGGCGACUUACUGGACUGUAACUGACGCUGAGGCGCGAAAGUGUGGGGAGCAAACAAGAUUAGAUACCCUGGUAGUCCACACUGUAAACGAUGAAUGCUAGGUGUAGGGGGUAUCGACCCCUUCUGUGCCGCAGUCAACACAAUAAGCAUUCCGCCUGGGGAGUACGGCCGCAAGGUUGAAACUCAAAUGAAUUGACGGGG